rnacentral:rRNA from 1 species
UACGAAGGGGACUAGCGUUGUUCGGAAUCACUGGGCGUAAAGCGCGCGUAGGCGGUUUUGUAAGUCAGGGGUGAAAUCCCGGGGCUCAACCUCGGAACUGCCUUUGAUACUGCGGAUCUCGAGUCCGAUAGAGGUGGGUGGAAUUCCUAGUGUAGAGGUGAAAUUCGUAGAUAUUAGGAAGAACACCAGUGGCGAAGGCGGCUCACUGGCCCGGUACUGACGCUGAGGCGCGAAAGCGUGGGGAGCAAACAGG